rnacentral:rRNA from 1 species
UACGUAGGGUGCAAGCGUUAAUCGGAAUUACUGGGCGUAAAGCGUGCGCAGGCGGUCGUGCAAGACAGAUGUGAAAUCCCCGGGCUCAACCUGGGAACUGCAUUUGAGACUGCACGGCUGGAGUGCGGCAGAGGGGGAUGGAAUUCCGCGUGUAGCAGUGAAAUGCGUAGAUAUCGGGAGGAACACCAGUGGCGAAGGCGGCUCUCUGGGGUAUUUCUGACGCUGAGGCACGAAAGCCAGGGGAGCGAACGGG